AAUAUUUGACAAUGGUGGCAACCCUGAUACAGCCAUCCUGCGUGUGCGAUGAAGGCCUACGGGUUGUAAAGCACUUUUUGCAGGGAAGAAAUGGCUCUGGCUAAUACCUGGAGCUGCUGACGGUACCUGCAGAAUAAGCACCGGCUAACUACCUGCCAGCAGCCGCGGUAAUACGUAGGGUGCAAGCGUUAAUCGGAAUUACUGGGCGUAAAGCGUGCGCAGGCGGUUCGGCAAGAAGGAUGUGAAAUCCCAGGGCUUAACCUUGGAACUGCAUUCUUAACUGCCGGGCUAGAGUAUGUCAGAGGGGGGUAGAAUUCCGCGUGUAGCAGUGAAAUGCGUAGAGAUGCGGAGGAAUACCGAUGGCGAAGGCAGCCCCCUGGGAUAAUACUGACGCUCAUGCACGAAAGCGUGGGGAGCAAAC
rnacentral:rRNA from 1 species